rnacentral:rRNA from 1 species
CACUGAUGAAUAAGGGGUGGGCAAGUUCUGGUGUCAGCCGCCGCGGUAAAACCAGCACCUCAAGUGGUCAGGAUGAUUAUUGGGCCUAAAGCAUCCGUAGCCUGUUCUGUAAGUUUUCGGUUAAAUCCAUAAGCUCAACUUAUGGGCUGCCGAAAAUACUGCAGGACUAGGGAGUGGGAGAGGUAGACGGUACUCGGUAGGAAGGGGUAAAAUCCUUUGAUCUAUUGAUGACCACCUGUGGCGAAGGCGGUCUACCAGAACACGUCCGACGGUGAGGGAUGAAAGCUGGGGGAGCAAACCGGAUUAGAUACCCGGGUAGUCCCAGCUGUAAACGAUGCAAACUCGAUGAUGCGUUGGCUUGUUGCUAGCGCAGUGUCGCAGGGAAGCCGUUAAGUUUGCCGCCUGGGAAGUACGUACGCAAGUAUGAAACUUAAAGGAAUUGGCGGGGGAGCACCACAAGGGGUGAAGCCUGCGGUUCAAUUGGAGUCAACGCCUGAAACCUUACCCGGAGAGACAGCAGAAUGAAGGUCAAGCUGAAGACUUUACCAGACAAGCUGAGAGGUGGUGCAUGGCCGUCGCCAGCUCGUGCCGUGAGAUGUCCUGUUAAGUCAGGUAACGAGCGAGAUCCCUGCCUCUAGUUGCCACCAUUACUCUCAGGAGUAGUGGGGCGAAUUAGCGGGACCGCCGCAGUUAAUGCGGAGGAAGGAAGGGGCCACGGCAGGUCAGUAUGCCCCGAAACUCUGGGGCCACACGCGGGCUGCAAUGGUAACGACAAUGAGUUCCAAAAUCGAAAGAUAGAGGUAAUCCCUAAACGUUACCACAGUUAUGAUUGAGGGCUGCAACUCGCCCUCAUGAAUAUGGAAUCCCUAGUAACCGCGUGUCAUUAUCGCGCAGUGAAUACGUCCCUGCUCCUUGCACACACCGCCCGUCGUUUCAUUGAAGUGAGCUUUUAGCGAGGUGACGUCUAAUUGGCGUUAUCGAACUUGAGGUUCGUGACAAGGGAAAAGUCGUAACAAGGUGACCGUAGGGGAACCUGCGGUCG